UAAUACGGAGGUGGCAAGCGUUACUCGGAAUUAUUGGGUGUAAAGGGCAAGUAGGCGGUCUAAUAAGUGGGUGGUGAAAUACUCCGGCUCAACCGGAGAACUGCCUUCCAAACUGUUAGACUUGAGUGUGACAGAGGAAAAUGGAAUUCUCGGUGUAAGGGUGAAAUCUGUAGAUAUCGAGAAGAACACCAGCUGCGAAGGCGAUUUUCUGGGUCACUACUGACGCUAAAUUGCGAAAGCUAGGGGAGCAAACAGAAUUAGAUACUCUGGUAGUCCUAGCCGUAAACGAUGAGCACUAGGUGUUGGCCCCUUUAGGGGUCGGUGCCGCAGCUAACGCAUUAAGUGCUCCACCUGGGGACUACGGUCGCAAGGCUA
rnacentral:rRNA from 1 species